CCUACGGGCGGCAGCAGUGGGGAAUAUUGCGCAAUGGGCGAAAGCCUGACGCAGCGACGCCGCGUGAGGGAUGAAGGUCUUCGGAUCGUAAAACUCUGUCAGCAGGGAAGAACGGUCACUGUGCUAAUCAGCAGUGAAUUGACGGUACCUACCAAGGAAGCAACGGCUAACUCCGUGCCAGCAGCCGCGGUAAUACGGAGGGGGCGAGCGUUAACCGGAAUUAAUGGGCGUAAAGCGCUCGUAGGCGGUAUGUCAAGUCAAGGGUGAAAGCCCCCCGCUCAACGUGGGAGGUGCCUUGGAAACUGGCAAACUGGAGUGUGUAAGAGGAUAGUGGAAUUCCAGGUGUAGGAGUGAAAUCCGUAGAUAUCUGGAGGAACAUCAGUGGCGAAGGCGACUAUCUGGCACAUAACUGACGCUGAGGAGCGAAAGCGUGGGUAGCAAACAGGAUUAGAUACCCGAGUAGUC
rnacentral:rRNA from 1 species